GAAAGGCAUCCCUCUCACCCAUCCAGAAUCUUCCUGUGGACCCUGGUCCCAGCCUACAAUGUCUUCCUGGCCACUCAAGGGGCGGCCGAACAAAUCCUUUGGUCAGUCACCAUUCGCUUCCUUAUAAGGUGACGUGAGGACGAGGAGUUUUGCCUUAGCCGCCCCUCACUGCCUCACAAGGCAGCGAAGCUCUCCAGUUUCACACCCUCAGAACUGUGGAACGAUCUUCUGCACUCUUCCCAGGACACCCUCCACGAAGUAUAACCAACAAGAACAUCUUCCGAUGUCACCAAAUGUCCCCCAGGAGUGAAUCUCCCCGCAUUCAGUACUACUGGGGCUUAGGACCAUUUUCUUUACCUGGGCAAACCUCUGGGAAGCUGAGCCAGGCCAGACCAUGGAGGCUGACCCAAGGUCCAAGAUUGGCGAACACAGGUGAACAGUUCAGAUCUUCUACGUUGGAUUCUUAUGACAGCAGAACUCAACCAAGGCCUUGCUGUUGAUGUCAUUAGAUUCGUGGUAUUUCCAGGGCUGCGGCUUGGUCUUGCCUUCCUGCAUCCAGCACUGUGACCUCUUUCCUGUAGUUGCUUUGAGGCUCUUGUUGGAAGUGGCCAUUCUGUGCUUGACCAGUCCAUCUUCUCUCUUUGUAGCCACCAAAGCCCCAUUCUACAGCCCUCCUCACCCCCACUUAGAUUUCAAGUGCCUUGGGGCCAGGAGCUAUGUUCUAUUCCAUUGUUUGAUUACAUAAUUUCCUCCAUGGAAUAGGGGCUGAAUCUAUAUUUUAUAAAUUGAGGAAACAUGAAAUAAAGUACCAUCUUGUAGAAUCAAGAAGAGCCCUGUGUUAUCAGCACUUCGCACUUACCACCCUCUCUGCCGAUCACUCACACCUGUGUGUGCACUGACGGGCGACGGAGCUGGGGUCCUAGGAUGGGUAGGGUGUACUGGUGUGUUUUCACUCAGUGGCCUCUGGGGAUCCUGGGAAAGUCGACCUCUCAUGAGCAGAUAUUUUCCUAAGUGGAAUAAGGGAGCAUUGUCCCGAUUCUUAACAUGAUUGUGAGAGGCUUCGAAUUAUGCUUCAGAGUCUAAAAUAUAUUUAUCAGCAAAUAUGAAUCAAACUGAUGUCAUGUAGGGGUCUCUCUGUGCUGGUAAUUCCUUCCAGAGCUGCAGGAAGGUCAGUUUUUUAGGCCUUCAAGGGCUCUUUGCAUCCAUAA